UACUUCUCCCGAAUAUCCAACUGACUUAUUAAUUUCUUAUAACGUACUCUAUUUUUCUUUGCCAAAUAAGCCAGCAAACGUUGACGUUUUCCCAAAAGUCUUCGUAGACCUCUUUCCGAUGAAAAAUCUUUUUUGUGUAAUUCUAAAUGUGAAGCAAGUCUCCGUAUCUUAUUGGUGAAACUGAAUACUUGAAAUUCAACAGAACCCCUGUUUUCUUGUUUUUCUUCUUUAACCAUAAAUCAACAAAUUUUUCUACCUCCUUUCUUUUUCAUGUAUUUUUCUGAUCAGGAAAAAUAAAAAAUUAUGUCAGUUAUUUUUAAGUUAUUCUAAUCUCGUACACACAAAAAUUUGCAAUUAUUCAUCUACUGCUGGAAUCUGGAAUUUGGAUUUAUUUUAUCGAUGCAAAUUGGAUUUGGAUAGAAGGGUACAUUCUUUUAUUUUAGAUAGAAGAAACAUUUCUUCUAUCUAAAAUAAAAGAAUUUUGCUGAUUUAUUUAUUGCUAUAUCCAAUUUAUAGAAUUGAUAUACCAUUUAAUUGAUAUCAUUUAGCAAAAUGAAACACAACAUAUGCAUCCAUCUUUGGGCUCGAGAAUUUCACGGGAUAGAGAUAUAGUAUAAGAAAUAGGCUAUUAAGUAACUCUAAAUGAAUUGUGGAUACAUCUGUAUCCUUAACAUACUGAAACGACUGCCAUUAUUCGUAUCAAACCAAUAGCGAUUCAUAAAAGCUAAAUCUUGUAAUCAAUGGUGGGCCAAUAAUGAAUUUUUUUGCAUAUGUAUUAAGACGCUUGGUCUGAUUUCGAAAUUGUCCAGAGUUUUUUAUGUUGUUUUCAUUGCAAAAUGAUGGAUCUCCUUCCGUAACUUUCCAAUUACGAGUACGAGAAUUGAAAGAUAGAACACUCAUAUCGAUAAAAUAGUUUGAACUAUUUACUAGAAGGGCACGCAGCCCUUUUUCCAAUGCCAAAUCGACGACCUAUGUAUAAAAAAAAGAGAAAUUUUUUGGAUUUGAAGAAAAAAUAAAAGGAAUUCUAUCAAUUUUUAUUUUCCAUUUAUUUAGUUUGUUUUUCUUAAUGAAAUUGAAAUUAUUAACUAACAGAGCAAACACAAAUAAAGAUAACUUUCCAAUUACGAGUACGAGAAUUGAAAGACAUGAAAAUUCUCAAUUCUCUACGGCGUCUAGGAGAUGGAUCGAAUAUUUUCAGGAACAAGAAAAUCAGAAGAAUCUUUUUCUCUAUUCACUACCAUUCCGCGUCUUCGACUUCUAUUAGUUUCUUUUCUUCUUUAAUGCAAUAGCUAUAGUUUGAUAUAGAAUCCAUUUCUCAAAGUAAUGGAAACCAUUCUCAAGAGGUGUGGUGGGACUGUGGGAGGGUUUAAACGCAAAAACAGCAGACAACGUUGGAUUCAGAUUGGAUGGUUUGGAUGGACUGAUGGUAUGCUUGCACAAGAUAACGGAUUGCACAGGAUAUGACCCCUUAGAUAAUUUUAAAAUGACGCAAUACGACCGUUGAAACUGAUGAUUUAAAUAUAUAGUAGAGACUAGGAGAGUGCCCGUGCGUUGCAACGGGAACGUAUAAAACCACGAUAAACUAUGUACAAAUGUGUGUUAUACUUUUAUAGGUUAGUGCUCGUGCGUUGCAACGGAGACAUAUAAUAUAUCGAUAUCUUAUAUAUGCAUGUGUGUUAUAUAUACAAAAUGUGUCUUAUAUUGUUAUAGUAAGAUGCUCGUCCUAACGAUACUACGAACCUAAGGCUGCCUCCAAUGGAGCAGCUAAAAGGGUAUGCAAAGCUAUUAUGGCUACUCAUAUUCACUGUAGCACCAUGCAUCUUCCAUCCAACAGAGUAGCCAAACAGAGCAGCCAAAUUCCAUGGCAGGUGAGAGAAAAGCUAUUAUGGCUGGGCAGGAACUGAGCAGGCAUCUCUGAUGCAAAUUGGUGGGCCAUUCUUAUCAGUGAGCAUGAGGCAAGCUAUUUUUGCUAUACCAUUGAAAAGUGUUAUAUUAUAGAUGGACAGCUAAAACAUCUACGUCAGCCAACAUGUUGAAUGCCUGCUUCUUUUAGCUGCCGCAUGUUGGAGGCAGCCUAAAAGGCAAUAAAAUUAAUUAGUGGGUCCUGGCAGGCCACCCAGGUUGUUACGGGUCCGGAGGAUUCGCAGCCACGAGCUCCGAGCAUGCAGGCAUCAGAACCGGUCUUCGGUUGAAGGGGAGGAGGAGAGGGAUGACAGAUGAGCCCUACCAGGCAUUGAGCGCGCGGUCGGCUGUCAAGUGGUCCCAAGUGGUCAGGGCGCGAGCUGAUUUGCGGACACGCGGGCUUGCGCGGUUGCUAGGCUGGGCCACGAUGACAACACGUGUAGCGUGAGGAUGGGCCGCGCGGUUGUACAAGGGAGGUGGGCCGGAAUGGGGAUAAUCGGCCCAGGCAGGGUUUCUUUCUUAUUAUUUUCUUUUCUUUUCUUUUCUUUUUCUAUUAUCCUAUUUCUUUCCUUUCCAUUUCAAAUCCAAAAUUUGAAUUCUAUAGUGACGGCAAAAUAUGUGAUCUGUUUUCUGUAUAUUGCGAGAAGCACUUUCAUGAAGACCUGGAGGAAGUGAGAAGAAACUGGGGAAUUCUACCAUGCCCUAGUCCCAAAUAGAACAGUGUAUAUAUUAGUCCCAAAUAGAACAGUGUAUAUAUAGACAGGCACAUUCUACAUGAACAGUUCUGCAUCAUGUAAUGUCAAUAAACUUUUGAUUAUCUGGCAAACGUGGCAUUAAAAAAAGAUGGAAAUGCGGCACAACUUUGCUCAUGCUGGUUCAUCAAAUUUACACAGAACUCUUCUUGCCGAGGACAUGGCCUCCCUCAAAAGAAUUACACUAUUGUAAGUAUGUGUAACACGCGAAAAGAACACAAUAAUUACAUGGCUCAAAACUUACAACACAACACAAGGUAGUGUGUACUACCCAACACGGUAUAAAAUUAUGAAGCAGCAGUAGUGCACAAGACACAGCGCAUGCGAGACUGGCCUGAUGGGGAACCAUCCUCAUCGUACAUGCCUCCGUCACUAUCCUGACCACUGUUUGAUCUCAUCGAGUCUAAGCCACCUUCAAGGCAAGACAGAUGAUACGCAUGGCAGCAGUAGAACACGAUGACAGAUAUGUCCUGGAUAGGCAAAGGAUCGAAGCACAAACAACACCGGGCACCACAUCUUGUUCUGGACUUGAUAUCUAGAGCCCGGACGCUAGAUGAUCUCUCGUGUCCCCGCGAUGAUCCAUCGUCAGCUCUGUUUCCGUGUACCUCCUCGUCCAUGCUUACCAUGUAUACCCCACGCCGAGCCUCGUGGUAGUAUUUAACCAAAAGGUUAACACAGUCAGCUUGAACAAAGCAAGUUUCGGAUGAAAAUGUCCAAAAUUCGAGAUGGUUGAGGCAUGGAGCAGCACAGUAUACGAAAGAAAGUAAACCUUAAGUAUAUCGUUGCAUCCAUUUCACAAUGAAGUUUCUGUCCGGUAAUCCGUCACAAUUUUCACAAGACGAUCCUGCAACCUAUCAAAAGCAUGAGUGAACACUCAACCAGGGGAUGAAAUGGUUGGAUUAAGAAUCAUGGCAGAUCGUUUUGAGUAUAUUUGCCAAGGUUUCAGUCAUGCAAGAAAUUCUGUAGCUCAGUUCUUUUAUGAUAAAUUUUGAUGGAACAUACCGAGGUAUUUCUAAGCCAUCAGGAACCAAACUGACAAUGUACAGAGGAUCAAGAUUGCCAACUGUAUGUUCCAAUAGAUUCCCUACCUGCCCAACAGACAUAGAAAUUGAACUAAGAAACAGAAGAUGCCUCAGUCUAAGCAAGAUUAAGCAUCAUUUAUUUCAGUUACCAUUUCAGGCUUCUGGAGGCAUUGUCUAAUCAGUUCCUCCCACAGUUCAUCAUCAUGCUGUUCCGUAACAAAUUCAACAGCCUGUAUGCAUAUUCAAGAUGCAUGUUACUGUUCAAUCCCAUAUAUCAAGUUGGCUAAUAUAGAACAACAUGUCUCAGAAAUGGUAAUAUAAUUGGUAGGCAAGUUAGAACCUCCUGCAUGUCUUCCAGUUUGUUUAUAAUUGUCGACAGAGCUUCCUUAGCAUUGCCCAUUCGACCAAGGACAAAACUUGCUCCCUUACAAGUUCUUUUUGUGCAAAGAUUUCAUAUGCCUGAAUAACAAUAACAAAUUAUCAAGCCUAUGAUUAACUAAAUAGAAAAUUUUAUGAUGUGAUUCUUUGGGGAAACUAUGACCUUGUCAAGCCUGUAAUGCUGACUGGUUAGAAGGAAGGGUAGUAGCAUCCUUGUCUCGUAGUCUGCAUAAAGCUCCACCUAUAAUGCAAACAGUUUUGACUUGCAAGUUAUUGUCAAAACACAAAGUAGAUGUAAAAAAUAAUUGGGGAAAUGGACAUGACAAUGGAAGGCAGAAAAGAUACCUGCAUAUCAUGAAAAUCCUUUCCAGCGUGUAUAUCUAUCUCAAAUAAAGCAUGCAAAUACAGGUGUAACAAAUAUCUCUUGUCACAUUUUUUACUGGUAUGCAACAGCUGCUCCACAACUUCAUAUGGGAGAAUGAUAUCACGAUGUUGGGUCCGUAGGUGAACUGUUCUUUUAUUGUCCACUAUCAUAAGAUUGACAAUCUGAAGAAUAUUAAAAAAAGUGUUUAAGUCAAGGAUAUGGAAUGCUUUUUCUAAAACGUACCACUGUAGAAUGUAACUUUGUAUUAGCAGCUAAAUUGGACUCCUCCAUUUUGAUACCUUAUCAUGAAUAGCAUCAUACAUGUUGUAUUUCUCAAUAAACUCGAAUACUUCUGGCUUCAGGAGCUGAACCAAAUGGGUUUAAUUAGAAAGAAUUUGACAAUAAAAAUGUAUAUUUUGAUAUGUGCCUACAAAUACAACUUUAGGAUGUACUUACUUCAGCAUAAAGAGAAAGUGCCUUUUCGUAUUGACCAUUGAUCACAUACAAUUCAGCUAAUGACUACAUGGCACAUAAGGCAGAUAUCAACCAAAGAGGGAAAGAAUAUGAAGUGUAAAUAUAUGUUUUACAUUCAUUAAAUGAUGUCCCUCCCCACCUCUUCAAUGAAUCAGCCAUCGAUGAGGAGUUUAGCUGUGGCUCAAUGGCAGAUAUGACCGGUGAGGCUGAGUAUAAUGUCGGUGGCUUUCCGCUAGCUAGCAGAACACGUGACAUGGUCAACCCUCAACAUAUAAUUCAUCUGAUUAUCAGGCUAUUACUAUAAUAAGGUUGAUGCUGUCAACUGCAAAACCUCAUAGAUUUGUAGAGUCACUAAAGCUUAUAAUAAAAAUAUUCUACAAAGGCGAGGUGGACGACUGAUCAAGGCAAGGACACCGAGGCAGGGCUGAUCUACAACGCAGACUACAACAGCAUGGCGAUGCACGCUAGCUCUCACCAACGAUGAAGCCCAAGCCCAAUCACCCCACCAUAAAUAGACCUCGCUAUUUGUAAUGUUUCUCUAGUUUCGUUUGAGCUACAACCAAAAUCUAAGAGGGUGGCAACUGAUCAACAUGCUGCUGUACGUUGACAUUGUAAUGCAUAGCUCUUCAGCUUUUAGAAUGUGACUGUCUAUUUAUGAAUAAUGUUUUCUUCAUGAACUGGUUGUAUACAUGUAGCAAGUUUGCCUCAUUUGAGGAGUUAAUUUAAGCGAUUAUCUAUUUUGUUGUCAAUAUCAGUACCUUGUGAUUGAUGAAAUUUGAAAGUGUUUAGCUAUAUUAAAUGCAACUCAUAAGGAUGACAGUGGAUUGAAAGAUAAGGAUCAGAAAUUAUUGUUUGAAGAUGAGAUAUCUGAGGAUGAACAAGCUGAACAGGCUACUCCACAACAGGAAUUGUGUGUUAUGCCAACAGAUCCUAGUGACUUGCAGAUAUAUUUUUAUUAUAUGUGCCUUAGUCUGAAGGCAUGAAUAAUACAAGUUACUAAAAAUGUCAUUUAGGUCAAGUCAAUUAUGUAUUCAUGAUCCACAUACAAGGAAUCAUUAAAUAUAAGAACAUAUUCUCUACAAAUAUCAAUCAUGAUCCUAUCACACAUUUUACUAUUCUUUUAAAUGACUCGGAUGAAAUGAUUAACUGAAGUCUAGAAAAACCAUAACAGAAAUAUGCAUCAUCCAUUGAAAAAGCACAACAUUUACAUAUAAUUACCUUUCGAAGCCUCCCAAAAAUGAUUUGAUGAAGAAACUUAAGCUCGACAAGUAUUUUAUUUGAUAUUCUCUUCGCAACUGCAAACAUUUUCAGGUCUGAAUCAUCAGAGUAUAUAAUAAUAAACACUUGCAUCCAGAAUUGAAGUUGUGAGUUAUUGAACUGUAGAAAAAGGAUGUGUAUUUUUGAAAGGCUUCUUCCAGUUCAAGAUAAUUUGUCCAGUUUACUGGAAUGUUUUGUUUGAACAUAGCCCUCUUAAUCAAAGAAGCAUAUAAUCAGACUAACAAGUUGUCUUAUUUUUACUGGUGGAACACACAAAGUGAUAGACAUUGUUCUUUGUUCAAACUGCUUCCAUAAUGCAAAAUUUAGUACUGGGCAUUCAAGCUUAGAUUUUCAGAGAGUGGAUGGGAUGAAAGAUGGAUCUAGAAAAAAAUGAUGAUAAAUAUCAUAUAUUGUAGUUCAGAUGAAAAUAUAAGUCUUAGAAAGAGAUCACACAACAUGAAAUAAUUAUGCCUAUUUAGACAUUGAUAUUUUUUAUUUUUAGGUUGCAUAAUAAUUGGAGAUGUGUACCAAUGGAUGUUAGUACUCUUUUCAUCUGAAUAUCGACAUGCAAAUGCAUUAAGAUUUGAGAAUAGUUUCCAUCUGAUGAACUCAAUUCAUUUCUAGCAGACUAUCCACUCUGAUAUUGCUAAAACAGUUGUAUACUGUUAUGAUAUGAGCUAGCUCCAUAAAAUUGUAUAUAUUUAAAUGGCAAUGAAUAGGUAUAAGAGUAAUCAAUCACUAACAAAGACAUGGUUUACCUUUUUCUUAAGAUGAUUAGACAAAUUAUAUUGUGUACUGCUAGGUUAGAACUCAAUAGCACAAUACAGAAACAAAAUGAAAUGAAAUGUCUUAUGGUCAAAACUCACCCCUCAGAUAUGCUCCAAGCUAUAAAUGUUAUCAACACAUAUGGACUGCUCUGAACCUGCAAUUUCCAAAUGUUAACUAAAACUUAAUAGCCAGGAUUGAAAUCACCAAGAAGCAAAACACAACAACAUUACAUAAACCCUAGCAAAAAGCAUCUUCUAUAUAUGUGCACAAGAGGAAUCCCUCUGAUGGCAAAAUAUAGCUUAGGCAAAAUACAACUUAGGUAAGGGUAGUUUCUCUUUUUCAAUGACCAUUUCAGUACGUAACCAAUGUUUUAUUUUCAAAAUAUAUUCAGAAUAUCAAAAAUAGACCAUAGAUGUGCAAAAAAGAUAUUCUUGUGUACCUAUAUCUGAUUGGUUGAAUGCUUGAUUUGAUUGAAUAAUACUACUUUUUUAUGGUAGGCGUUUCAGAAAUGAGCUUACUCAAGCUAUAUUAAAAGUGACCAUAACAUUAGGUAAGACAUGAUUUUGACUGUGAGCAGGUAGGGGUGCUGCUUCUAAUAGUUGUCAUCAAGCAAAUUUUGAUUUGGCUCCACAACAUAGGUGCAUAAUGAUUCUUUGUGCAAAUAUGAACCGUAAAACACAAACAACAAAAAUCAGAUAUAAACAAAUUGGGUCAAAAAAACAGUGCCAACUACUCCAUUAUGUUUUAUUUGUUGACAUUUUUAUGGUCUUCUAGGUGGACUAUCAAUAUUUAUAUAAUAAGGGUAUACUAUAAUCAUAAUUUAUCUAGAGUCAAUUGGCUGAAGGUAGACCUAUAAUAACACUGCAAUCAAAGGGAUAACACUGGGUAUGAAAUCAUAAUACGAGGACAAUGCAUACGUCUACGACGGUUACUGGAAGGAAAAGAUCCCAAACAUUUGUAAUAUAUGCAGGUUAUGCAGAGUAACAUACAAUAAUUUAUUGGAAAAUAAUUCUAAAACAACAAACAUGCCAUUGCCUGCUAGGACUACCAAAUGGGACUUACAUUUACUUCAAAUUGUUAGGCCUCAAGUUUGUUGGAGCUGUAAACAGAACAAGGGGAGGGAAGCUACAUAUAUUACAAAUGUUUGUCAGAAACGAGGAAACAACCAAACAGUAGUGGAGCUGAUUGAAUCCAUUUACCUCUGCUUCUAAAGGCUUCCCAGUUGCUUCCCAAUGUAAUCACAGAACCUUAGAUCAUAUCAUAGCAAGAAGCAUGGUUCAGCUCAACUAUGAGGCCAUCCAUCUACAUUCCAAAUUGCAAUCAAUGACAGGAAACAGAACACAAGAAGACCAGCAACCAGGAAAGAUCUUGGGCCAAAAAGGCACAAGUGCAAUUGUAAGGAAGGGAAAAUAGCGCAGCAUCCAUGAACUAAACCCAAUCAGAUAUUCAUAUGAGAUGGAAUUGAGCGGGGGCGACGACCGAAUUAAAGUUACAAGGCAAAAACUAAAGGGAGGAGGAAGAGCGGUUGCACCUGUAGUAGCGAGUUGUGGCCGAGGGAUAGCUUCUCCUUGACGUGCUGCAUGCGGAGGUCACCGCUACAGGUAGGGGUGGAAACGAGCCGAGCCGAGCUCGGCUCGGCUCGGCUCGCUGCGGCUCGCUCAUGUAACGAGCCGAGCUCGGCUCGGCUCGCCUAUCUCACGAGCUCGAAAAAGCGGCUCGGCUCGGCUCGCUCCUGGCUCGCGAGCCGGCUCGCCGAGCCAACGAGCCUAGGCAUAAAAUUAAAUCUGCUCUCUAAAUUAUAAUAUAAAAUCUUAAAAAUAUUUUAAAUAACAUAUUUUAAAUUAGUAAAAUAGAUAUAUCACUAAUAUAAUAUAUAAAAUAGAUUAUUUUUGUAUAGUACUCUCAAAUAACAUAAAUUAAUUAUCUACUCGGUAUUAAUAUUAUAUGCUAAUUAAGAUUUUAUAUAACAAAUUGUUGUUGGGUCGAGCCACGAGCCAGCUCGCGAGCUGUACCGAGCCGAGCCGAGCUGGCUCGCUCUUUUCACGAGCCAGAAAAACAGGCUCGGCUCGGGCUCGUUCGGAGCGUCGAGUCGGUCCGAGUCGAGCCGAGCUACUACGAGCCCGAGCCAGCUCGUCGAGCUCGAGCUUUUUUUCCAGCCCUAGCUACAGGCAGUGCACUUUUUUCAGCUAAGGAAGAUUGGGCACACAAUUUCACAUAUAUGACAUAUCAUCAAAUUUGGAACUGUCAUGGAUGACACGAAUUUAUAAGCACCCCCUAGUUCUUUGGGUAUUCUCUUGCACCAAAUAUGGUUGACCCAACUCUUACAUUUGUGCUUCCCAUUUCAAUCUGCAGGCACAUAGAAAACAAUGUAUGUCUAUAUUAACGUAGCUAUCAGCCUACCAUGCCUCUUCAACACUCAUAUAUCACAGUAUUUCCCUUACUGUUUGUUCAAAGUCAGAUGACAUGUCCACAAAUAGUUCGAGCUGCUCUUCCGGUAUUCCAAGCUCCUUGCACACAUCUUCCCGACAGUUGGCUAGUGCCUAUGAAUUUAACAUACAUAAUACACGUUAGUGCACAUAUACAUGCCAUAUUGCCACUUCGAUAGAACUUCUAUAACCCAGAGUUAUACAUUACCUUGAAAUUCUUCGGAGUUGAGGAGUAAUCAAGCAUCCCAAUUAUCAUCAAACCAGACAACACAAGGUUAGGGUUGUUCAAUCUGACAUGCUUUGCUAGUUCGACACAUCCUGAGGGAUCUACUCCAAUUUUCGCUGCAGUUAAAAAAAUAGUAUUCAGAAGUAUGUUAUGAGAAACAUAUAAUGCACGUGACUGAUCACCAAGAACAGUUAGCAUCAUUGUGUCAGAAAAUCUGCAGCAUCAGAGAAACCAAAAUGGGGACUAACUGAAUGGCCUACAAGCAUGUGUGGAAGUAGUUUAAAUUAUCCAUUAAAAAUAGGAAUGGUCCUGUUGCAACAACGAAGACACAUUAUUGAUCAUUAUUUUAUAAUUAUUUUAUCACCAUGGCAAAAAUAGAUAUGGCAUAUGCUAUGAGUUAGAGACAUACCUUUUGUUAUUGUCAUCUCAAUCUAGUCGGCUUAAAUAAGUUGAUCCAUAAGCUAGAUUAUAUAAUCCUGUAAGGAAAUAAACAGGGCCUUACAAUGUCAUGCUUGUGUUUAUGUACACGUGCUAGCUAGUUAUCUAAGGCUAGAUUUCACCUGCACAAUAUCAUGACGAGGAACCCUCGGAAGUGGUUCAACUUUGUAUCCCUUGGCUGACAUGACUUCCGCAAUGAGCAAACCUCCCUGUGGAUCAUAUUAUAUCAUCAAGUGCAUGCAUUGUAUCUCCACCCAUUUGCAGUUAGCAAACCUACUUUUACUGCUUCUCCAACCAUUUGCGGACCAAGAAACAGGCCUUGAAACAGCGCACGCAUAACAUGGCCAGGUGUUGACCCAAAUUCCACCCCAAGGCCAGGUGCAGAUAGACGGGCUGCAGCUGCUUCGACUAAAUGCUCCUUCCCAGCAACAUAACCACCACAAGGCGCAAUAGUUCCACCUGGAUUCUUUAUCAAACUUCCAGCAAUCAAGUCUGCUCCCUGCCAUGAAACACGAGAUGAAAAAGGAAUCGUCUUCAGGAGGAAGUGAAAAUCAUGGACAUACCACCAUUGCAGGUUCCGAUAUCUCAACAAAUUCACCAUAGCAAUUAUCAACCAUCACCAUGCAGUUUGGAUUUUGCAUCUGCAAUGAUAUCAAAACCAGAAAAAAAUUGUCACCACAGAGAAAAGCUACUAUAGAUACAGAAGGUUGAUGGUCACAAAACACAACAAUCUUGCCUUGAUCAAACCUAUAGCUUUGUGAAUAUCUGCUACACUUAAGCUCUUGCGCCACGAAUAUCCACACGAUCUCUGUAUGAAGGCACACCCAGUUUCCGGCCUGAUGGAGCAAGCAAGAGCAUCCCAAUCAAGGCCACCAUCUGCUACAAGCUAUAACUUUAGUCUCAUCAGUAACCAUCCACACUUCCACAGGCUACAGCACAUGGCGACACACAGUAGGCACUACAGGGUAGUGAAGAGAGAAAUUGACGCACCGGAACUUCUCGGUACGUCACUCCGAAAUCCUUGAGUGACCCUACAUUGGCCGACCCCCUGAUCCCAAUCACCUCCUCCAAAGUGUCGUACGGGGGCCCAGCGACUGCCAGGAGCUGCAGGAAUCCAACAUUAAUCAGUCUCAACUCUCAAAUGUCACUGCCAAGAAUAGUUCAUUCAGUUCAUCCUAUCCCUACCUCAUGCCCAGGCCUCAGAAGCGCAAACAACGCACAGGCAAUGGCGUGGGUACCGGAGAAGAACUGGCAGCAGUGGAGCAAUUAGUUGAUUGAUUCAUCAAAGAGGAGAGGAGCUCGGUUACACAGUACUGUAACCAUAAAAAACGAGAUUGUGUUGUGUGCGGAGGUGGGACCUGCGGGCGCACAAUGGCAGCCUCCGCGCCAACAAUGUCGGCGAAGACGGAGUCCAACGCUUCCCGGCCGCCACCGUCGUCGUGGUCGUACCCCGUGGACCCACCGAAAUGCUGAAACAAACACACGCCACAAACGUGACUCUGUGUUCACCUGCGGUGUGAGCUCAGAUGCCAAGCAGAGGACCAGGGUGAAACGAAGGGGAGCUCGGAUGCCAAGCUUAAUCAAUAUGCUCAACACAGCUAGCACGCAAAUUGCAAACAUGUAAGAACAUCUAUAGACAGCUCUACAAAGACAGAUAUCGUUUUCAUUAAGAACUCAUGAAGUCACAAACUUAGUAAAUUACCAUUCAUUAAAACUGAGGUAGUUCAAAAGUUCAUAAUAAACAUGAUCGACAGCUGUAUAGACAACAUCCUUCAAAAGCAUUCCAGCAGUAACAUAUGUUUCUUAUGGUGGAGAAACAGACAUAGCUUCACGAAGAACAAAAACAAUUGGAGCUAAAAGCUAAACUGACACAUGAUAAUUUGAGCAUUAAAGCAUUCAAUAGACUCACAACCACGAUGAAAAAAGGCUUCAACACAUGGCCGUUUUGUCUCGGUCCACUGAACCAAAUUCUGCUCGUGGCGAAAGGAAUCAUGAUUUUCUGACCACUCUUCCAAAUCCUUUACUGUGUACAUGAAGUAUCUACAAAAUAAUUGCAGCCUUCUAAGGUACUUGAAGGAUAAAAAAUCUUAAAUAAAAAGAUAAAUAAGAUACAAAUGAACAAAACAUCAUGUGUGUGGAACCGCAGAUGUAAUAUGAAAACCAGGAAAAUUACAAAAUAUUCAAUGUCGCUCGUUCUACUGGUAAGACACAAAUGGAUUUAUUAAGCAUGGCAUGGUUCAUUAGACACCAAGCUGGACACAAGAAAACCGAGAAGGGACUAUCACAUAACUUUUGCACGGGUUUGAUCAGUCUCAGCCAAGUUUACUAUCUAUGUUUAUUGGUUAAAUUGAACUAAAAUUGCCACACAUGUUAUGUACAGAUUCACGGAUCAAUCACAUGAAGGGAAAGUGCGCUAGAAAGAUAUGCAUGUUUCCCGUUAACAAAGUCACCCACAAACUAAACAGAGAUAGUAAACUUGCCUCAAUGCUCAACUAUUCUAUAAUCUAUUUUUUUACUCAGCUAUAUCCCCACCAGAAAAGAAUUCAGUUGUUGAAUCAUCAUAACCAAUCUUCUAUAUAUGCAUCAGAGAAUCAGAGAUCUCAAGGUAUAAUUCAAAGAAUCAGAGAUCACACUGGAUACUUAAUUUCUAUCUAUACAAAAGUGGUAGUUGGUGUUAGACGCUUCCCUGCCGAUGCGGAAGAGCUCGAUGAGGUUGUAGAACUGGCCGUGGAUGUCACCACACAUAGUGACGGGGCAACGCACGGGCUGUACGUUCCACUCCUC
rnacentral:lncRNA from 1 species